CACUUUAUGUUGAAAGCUUCAACAUUGAGCACAUGUAUAGCAAAAGCAAACCUAGGAAGUUUGCGUUCUCACCGCAUACAGCCUCCAAGCUUGCCGUGGACCCAAGCUCAUUUCAGACACGUUCUUGCAGCAAAGAUCUUGAGAGGGCCUGUGAAAGAAACAACAUCAUGAAAUCUGAUCAAUUGUUCUUCACCAUUGUCAAGGACGGACACUGGGCAGUUGUGGUUGCAAACUUGAUGCACAAACAAUUCAAC